AACGAACGCUGGCGGCAGGCUUAACACAUGCAAGUCGAACGCCCCGCAAGGGGAGUGGCAGACGGGUGAGUAACGCGUGGGAACGUACCCUUUACUACGGAAUAACUCAGGGAAGCUUGUGCUAAUACCGUAUGUGCCCUUCGGGGGAAAGAUUUAUCGGUAAAGGAUCGGCCCGCGUUGGAUUAGCUAGUUGGUGGGGUAAAGGCCUACCAAGGCGACGAUCCAUAGCUGGUCUGAGAGGAUGAUCAGCCACAUUGGGACUGAGACACGGCCCAAACUCCUACGGGAGGCAGCAGUGGGGAAUAUUGGACAAUGGGCGCAAGCCUGAUCCAGCCAUGCCGCGUGAGUGAUGAAGGCCCUAGGGUUGUAAAGCUCUUUCACCGGUGAAGAUAAUGACGGUAACCGGAGAAGAAGCCCCGGCUAACUUCGUGCCAGCAGCCGCCGUAAGAC
rnacentral:rRNA from 1 species